GGCCGGUUAGCUCAGUUGGGUAGAGCAUGGUGCUUAGAACACCAAGGUCCAGGGUUCUAUCCCUGCACUGGCCA